rfam:Gossypium arboreum cultivar AKA8401 contig_12884_1, whole genome shotgun sequence.
UAUUAAAAAUUUCAUCCAUUUGUACUGUUAAAAAUUGGCGUGAUUGAUAGAAUAAACCAGAUAGUGAUAUGUGGCGUGCCACGUGUAUAUCAUGUUGACGUACAAGGAGGGUCAGUUUUUAAUAGUAGAAAUGGAUUAAAUUCUUAACU